rnacentral:rRNA from 1 species
CCUACGGGUGGCAGCAGUGAGGAAUAUUGGUCAAUGGCCGUAAGGCUGAACCAGCCAAGUAGCGUGAGGGAAGACUGCCCUAUGGGUUGUAAACCUCUUUUAUGCGGGGAUAAAGGUGUCCACGUGUGGAUGUUUGCAGGUACCGCAUGAAUAAGGACCGGCUAAUUCCGUGCCAGCAGCCGAGGUAAUACGGAAGGUCCGGGCGUUAUCCGGAUUUGUUGGGUUUAACGGGAGCGUAGGCCGGUCUUUAAGCGUGCCGGGAAAUUUUGUGGCUCAACCAUGAGAGUGCGGCGCGAACUGGAGACCUUGAGUGCGCGGAAGGCAGGCGGAAUUCGUGGUGUAGCGGUGAAAUGCUUAGAUAUCACGAAGAACCCCGAUUGCGAAGGCAGCCUGCCGCAGCGUUACUGACGCUGAAGCUCGAAAGCGCGGGUAUCGAACAGGAUUAGAUACCCCAGUAGUC